rnacentral:rRNA from 1 species
GAUGAACGCUGGCGGCGUGCCUAAUACAUGCAAGUCGAGCGAACAGAUGAGAAGCUUGCUUCUCUGAUGUUAGCGGCGGACGGGUGAGUAACACGUGGGUAACCUACCUAUAAGACUGGGAUAACUCCGGGAAACCGGGGCUAAUACCGGAUAAUAUUUUGAACCGCAUGGUUCAAUAGUGACAGACGGUUUCGGCUGUCACUUAUAGAUGGACCCGCGCCGGAUUAGCUAGUUGGUAAGGUAACGGCUUACCAAGGCGACGAUACGUAGCCGACCUGAGAGGGUGAUCGGCCACACUGGAACUGAGACACGGUCCAGACUCCUACGGGAGGCAGCAGUAGGGAACCUUCCGCAAUGGGCGAAAGCCUGACGGAGCAGCGCCGCGUGAGUGAUGAAGGUCUUCGGAUCGUAAAACUCUGUUGUUAGGGAAGAACAAAUUUGUUAGUAACUGAACAAGUCUUGACGGUACCUAACCAGAAAGCCACGGCUAACUACGUGCCAGCAGCCGCGGUAA